rnacentral:rRNA from 1 species
UGAGCAAUCUGCCCUUCUCUUCGGAAUAACCAUUGGAAACGAUGGCUAAUGCCGAAUAUGACCUCGGAUCACAUGUUCUGAGGUGGAAAGCUCCGGCGGAGAAGGAUGAGCUCGCGGCCUAUCAGCUUGUUGGUGAGGUAAUGGCUCACCAAGGCAUUGACGGGUAGCCGGCCUGAGAGGGUGACCGGCCACACUGGGACUGAGACACGGCCCAGACUCCG